rnacentral:rRNA from 1 species
UGGGAGGUAAAUUUCUCCUAAGGCUAAAUAUCGGCGAGAGACCGAUAGCGAACAAGUACCGUGAGGGAAAGAUGAAAAGAACUUUGAAAAGAGAGUAAAAUAGUACGUGAAAUUGUUGAAAGGGAAACGAUUGAAGUCAGUCGUACCGACGAGAAAUCAACUUAUCGUGUGCGAACUUGUGGGCGUGCGUGAGUUUCGGCCUCGCUGUUUGCAUGUUUGUACGUUUUGGGUGUACUUUUUCGUAUGGUAGGCCAACAUCAGUUUUCGAUUACUAUAAAAUGACCGGCGGAAUGUAGCUUCGAUUUCGGUUGAAGUGUUAUAGCCUCUGGUAGAUGUGGUGAUUGGGACUGAGGAUUGCAACGAAUAUCCUUUGGGCUAUCCGUCUGAUCUCUGAAAGUUGCUCAGGUGCCGAAAGCGUGCUUACGGUCAUCUAAGUUGACGGUCAACAGGUUAGAACGUGAUUAUAUUCGUUAAGGAUGUUGGCGUAAUGGCUUUAAACGACCCGUCUUGAAACACGGACCAAGGAGUCUAACAUAUAUGCGAGUGUUCGGGUGUUCAAACCCCUACGCGUAAUGAAAGUAAUUUUGGUGGGAUCACUUUUUGUGUGCACCAUCGACC